rnacentral:misc_RNA from 1 species
GAUGAAGAACGCAGUGAAAUGCGAUAAGUAGUGUGAAUUGCAGAAUUCAGUGAAUCAUCGAAUCUUUGAACGCACAUUGCGCCCGCUAGUAUUCUGGCGGGCAUGCCUGUUCGAGCGUCAUUUCAACCAUCAAGCCCUAGGCUUGCGUUGGAGCCCUGCGGCUGCCGCAGGCUCCCAAAUCCAGUGGCGGGCUCGUCGUCGUACCGAGUGCAGUAAACAUCCUCGCUCAGGGAACGUGACGGGUUCUUGCCGUGAAACCCCCCACAUAUCAAGGUUGACCUCGGAUCAGGUAGGAAUACCCGCUGAACUUAAGCAUAUCAAUAAGCGGAGGA